UAGAAGACCACUUAUCGUAAAAUUUAAAAGAGUAAAACAUUACAAAGGGAAUUUUAGAAGCAAAGGCCUGCAUGUUAAGAUUUGAAACAUGUCCUUUAGAAAGUUCAUAGUGAACUUAAAUCAUUUUUACCAGAUGUUCGACAGUGAAAUGGAAAGUGAUAGACCAGUGCUGGUGAGGCGUGUGGGAGGUGCAGAUUGCAGGGCAGAUUUGGUUGCUAUUUUGAUUGCUUCCUUUGUUUGGCUAUUUAAUAGGAUAUUUAAAUUGGUAUAUAAGACAAAGAGAAUGAUUUAAAAAAAAAGGGAUUGGAAACAACAUGUAUUACACAUUAAAGAUGUUUUAUCGGUUAGGCAUUUGUAUUGACUCUCACAUAAACAACCCAAUUUAAUCCUGACAGUAUCAAGAGGAGUGUAGCACACACAUGUUACAGCUGAAAAUGAUGCGCUGUGAUGUCAAGCACUUUCCCAAGGAGAUGCAGCUAAUAGUUGCCAGAGCCAUAAUGAUAUUAGGUGUUGUUCCCUUUGUCUGGGACGCCCUCUCCGUAUGUAUUAGUCUGGAAAACUCCACUUAUCCCAUCAGCCUCAGCUCUCACCUCUUCCGAGACCUUCCCUGACAUCACUAGGCAAAUAUAAAUGAGCCCUCUGACCAUCCCCUUUGUGCAAGACUCAGGUUAAAAAAAUGACCCCAUGAGAGAGUGUUAAUAUUUCUUUCCUCAAUUAGAAUCUUGAAGUCCAGAACUGUGCAUUUCCAUCCUUAUAUCAGAAUGUCUAGCACACAAGAAGCACUGGGAAAUAUGUGUGGAAUAAAUAACUGAGCAUGUUGAUAAAGGAGCAUAUAUUUUUAAUAUCCAUAGAAGUGCAAAUCUUUGCUGGGUAGCGUUGUAGGAAUGUUUUUCCACAUGUCAUGACGACAUUUGUUUUGCAUUUUAGUCCAUUACCAUAAUAAUAACUCUCCAUUUGCAGCUUAUGAAUUUGAAAAUAAAUUGCCUUCCCUAGGAAAUAGGAGAAAAUACUAUUAAAUGGC
rnacentral:lncRNA from 10 species